GUUUGUUUUGAAAACGCCACAAAAUGCCACAAUUUUACCAAAAAAAGGCCAUUAUAGCUUAAUUUUGCUUACUCGCUCACUUCCAAAAAAAUCCCGCUCACUCCCAAACUCCUCCUUCUUCUCAUCUAUGUCACUCGCCCUAAAUCCCCCAAAUAAAAUUUAGCUACUCUUUUUCUCUCGUUACUGUUUUUCUCUCGAUCCUUCGUUUCUUUUCACUGUUUAGAUAUAUCCGCCUCUCUCAUCUUCCGUUUUUAUACGGUUGGUUGUUGUUGAAGAAGUGCUACUACCAUGGCUACAAAGAAGAGUGUUGGGGACUUGAAGGAAGCUGAUUUGAAGGGAAAGAAAGUGUUUGUUAGAGUCGAUCUGAACGUUCCAUACAGAUGACACAAGGAUCCGUGCUGCUGUUCCCACCAUCAAGUAUUUGAUGGGUCAUGGCUCUAAAGUCAUCCUCUUUAGUCAUUUGGAUGAGCAACCAGAAGUACAAGGACCAGCAGUUUUGGUCUCAACUGAAAGAGUAUCAACUAUCAGUCCAAUUGGUAUUUCUCUGUGUGUGUAUGUAUGUGUUUUUUAUGAUUUAAGGGUUUUUUCUUCAUUGGAUUUAGUUGAAAUAUGGAAUAUAUGUUCAUUUUAGUACUUGGACUUGAGGUUUUAGAACUUUGAUUUGCAUGAAACAUGAAACUUUGACUUGCGGGUCUCUUUUUGUCUGUCUCUUACUUUGGAAAUUGCUCCAAAAUUUUACAUAUUAACUUGUUGAUUGUAAUGUGAUAAGAAGUAUAAAGGAAGGGUUUGUUAUCUUGGCUAUCAAAUUUCUCCAGUUCUUCAAUUCAAAUAUUGUCAGCCUUGCUUAUUGGCAUCUUCUUCAAUGUGUUUGAUAUUCUAGGUAGCAUUUAUGUGGUUGAUAAUCCUUAAUUCCCAUACAAGUUAUAAUGACUACUGAAGGGCAUCAACUCCUCAAUGAAUUAACGAUUUUUUAUUCUUGUUGGCCUUUCUUUUUAAUCUUCUCUUUGACAUGAUGUUUGAUAGCCUAGUUCAUUAUUCUUCUUACUGAUCUCUAGGAUUUCGCCUGGCAUUGAAGAAUUAGUCAAGAAGCUGAAGGCAAGGAAUACCGAUGUUUAUCUAAUUUCCGAGGGCUUCUGCCAAAUGAUUAAUGUGUGCAACUAUGCUACUAAAUGCUUGAAAGACCAUCUCUAUUUUACUUUGUUCUGUUAAGGCAUUCAUGUGGUUUCGUCUGCCCUUCUGAUAAAUGUAGAUCUGAAGUCACUUGCAAUAUUUUGAUGAUAUUGAAAAUAGAAACUUGAAUGUAGGAAACUGGAAAACACGAAAUGGAAAUCCUUACUUGACAUUAGAUAUUACACAUGCAGCAAAUGGUGACUUCUGAAAAACCAAUUAGAUAUAAAAUUAUGGAAGUGUGAUAUGGGUAAUGUUGUCAUCAGUAAGAGUCAUUGUACAUCAUGUAAGUUCGUUACUAUUGAGAGAGCCAUGUUAUUGUAUAUUAAUAUAAUCUUCCAAUGGUUAACCAUUGGCCAACUACUGCCAGAAAAUAGUUAAUUGAGAAGCAUUUUUGUAGCCUAUUGCAUCAAUCCUUGGAAUUUAGCAAGAAAACAGUUUUUGGGAUUCGAUGCUAAUGAGCUCACUUCGAGGAGUAGAGGAAAAGCUACUGCUGUUCAACAAAUAAGAAAGGUUAAGGGAUACAAGGCAUUAGACAUGAUUGGUGAUGGUGCUACUGAUCUUGAGCUGAAGAUGGUUCUUCAUCAGUAGCUGUGGAUUUGCAGCAACUUAAUUUGCAUAAUGUGAUUUGCCAAGCAAAAUCUGGAAUGGGGAAAACAGCUGUUUUUGUUCUAUCAACUCUUCAGCAAAUUGAACCUGAUGCUGGGCAAGCUGCUGCACUUGUUCUAUGUCACACUAGAUGCUGGGCAAGCUGCUGCACUUGUUCUAUGUCACACUAGAGAAUUAGCGUACCAGAGUUUCUGAGUAGUACAACUGCUGAGUCAUGUUUUGGUGCUGCAAUCAAGGUACAUAUUAUGCACAGCCUUUUCAAUGACUUCUGCAUUAACAGACUGGAGUAGUGUACAAAAAUCCUUUAGGCACUUUCAGACUAUUCAAAUCUAUAAUAUUUUUUCCCCUUUGUUUGUAGAUUCAUUGGCAUCUUGUCUUAAUGAGAGUGUAGUUUAUGAAGUUUAAACUUUGCAUUGUCCUCCAAGGUAUUAGAAUUCCUAGUUCAAAACUUAGCAAUUUGUCUUUUAUAAAAGACCUUUGCAUUUUCAGUGUUGUUUAGGUUCACAAACAAGAUGUUGUAUUUGGACUUGUUGUAUUUUAUUUAUAUUUAUAUUUAAUCUAAUUUUUAUUAUUUAUUUUA